AUUCCCUUAAUCGAAAAGUGUGGUAACAUCCGGGAGUACGAUAUCUUAGCGAACGGAUAGAAAAUCCAGUAUUUUUCGAACACUAAUUCGUAUUUUACUAUGAUUAUAUAGAUGUAUAAUUUUAAAUGGUUAUAAUAUCAGAGGGGCGCCGCACUUCCAUUUAUCUAUUUCUUAAGGGAUUCAGGUAAGGGGGAUGUAUAACCCUAAACAUUUGAAAAAUUCCUUUGCAGUGUAUUUUAUUAUUAUGCACUUAUUCUAAAAGCAGAAAAAGAAAUUUAUCGAGCAAUUAAUACGCUGUUGACUCAGAAAUGUCUUGUGAUUUUCAAAGGUUUGUCCAACGAAGGAGUAUCGAAACAGAGUUCUCCGAAUGGCUUAGUAGAAACUUCAUGUAUAUUUAUUUUAGCCUACAUAUACAAAAGAAAUUAAAGCACAUUACAACGUAAUUUCGGAGAGCUCAAGCUAUGAGAUUUUCGACUGUUUAGUUUCGAGGAAUACCUAGAUAGUACCGAAAAAUGCUACACUCUUUUUUUAUAAACAUUUAUCAAAUAAUUUUUAAUGCGUUGGCUGAUGCCUUAACCAAAGGUCAUACUAAAUUUACCAGAAAAGUUUCUUUUUCUUUAAUAAAUCAAUUGUAGUGUUUGAAUGAAUGAGCUUUAGUAGGAUGUCCACUGGUCAAUUAAAAUUGUAACUUAC